rnacentral:rRNA from 1 species
UGAGGAACAUAGCCAUCGGCGGGGGAUAGCCGGCCCAACGGCCGGGUAAUACCGCGUACGAUCUUCGGGGGGCAUCCUCUGGAGAUGAAAGCAGCAAUGCGCCGAUGGGGUGCCUCGCGGCCUAUCAGCUAGUUGUGAGGUAACGCUCACCAAGGCUACGACGGGUAGCUGGUCCGAGAGGAUGACCAGCCACAGUUGGGACUGAGACCACGGCCCAGACCUCCGUAGGAG